UUGUACAGCAGCCGCGGUAUACGUAGUCGAGCGUGUCGAUCAUGGCGUAAAGGUACGUAGGCGGGUAGCAGUAGAGUGAAUCUAUAGCUCACUAUAGUAAGCUUUUAAACUGCUCAUCUGAGAUAUGGAAGGGAAAGUGGAAUUCCUAGUGUAGCGGUGAAAUGCGCAGAUAUUAGGAGGAAUACCGGUGGCGAAGGCGACUUUCUGGCCAUGAUCUGACGCUGAGGUACGAAAGCGUGGGUAGCAAACAGGAUUAGAUACCCUGGUAGUCCACGCCGUAAACGAUGAGUGUUAGGUGUCUGGAGUAAAUCUGGGUGCCGCAGCUAACGCAUUAAACACUCCGCCUGGGGAGUACGCGCGCAAGCGUGAAACUCAAAGGAAUUGACGGGGACCCGCACAAGCAGCGGAGCAUGUGGCUUAAUUCGACGCAACGCGAAGAACCUUACCAAGUCUUGACAUAUUACGGAGGGAUCUAGAGAUAGAACCUUACUUCUUCGGAAGACUGUAAUACAGGUGGUGCAUGGUUGUCGUCAGCUCGUGUCGUGAGAUGUUGGGUUAAGUCCCAUAACGAGCGCAACCCCUAUUGUUAGUUACCAUCAUUAAGUUGGGGACUCUAACGAUACUGCCGGUGACAAACCGGAGGAAGGUGGGGAUGACGUCAAAUCAUCAUGCCCUUUAUGACUUGGGCUACACACGUGCUACAAUGGCAGGUACACAGAGCAGCUAGAGAGCGAUCUCAUGCAAAUCUCAAAAAGCCUGUCCCAGUUCGGAUUGCACUCUGCAACUCGAGUGCAUGAAGUUGGAGUUGCUAGUAAUCGUGGAUCAGAAUGCCGCGGUGAAUGCGUUCCCGGGUCUUGCACACACCGCCCGUC
rnacentral:rRNA from 1 species